UACGAAGGGGGCUAGCGUUGCUCGGAAUCACUGGGCGUAAAGCGCACGUAGGCGGAUUGUUAAGUCAGGGGUGAAAUCCUGGAGCUCAACUCCAGAACUGCCUUUGAUACUGGCGAUCUCGAGUCCGGGAGAGGUGAGUGGAACUGCGAGUGUAGAGGUGAAAUUCGUAGAUAUUCGCAAGAACACCAGUGGCGAAGGCGGCUCACUGGCCCGGUACUGACGCUGAGGUGCCGAAAGCGUGGGGAGCAAACAGG
rnacentral:rRNA from 1 species